rnacentral:rRNA from 1 species
UUACUAUCGUAACUGGACACACUACCGUUUAUCGUCUAGUGGUGCUCUUCACCGAGUGUCACUAGUGAUCGGUACGUUUACUUUGAAAAAAUUAGAGUGCUCAAAGCGGUCUUUACACGAUCGAAUAAUGUUGCAUGGAAUAAUGAAAUAGGACUUUGGUUCUAUUUUGUUGGUCUUCGGAACCAAGGUAAUGAUUAAGAGGGACAGACGGGGGCAUUAGUAUUGCGACGCUAGAGGUGAAAUUCUUGGACCGUCGCAAGACUAACUAAAGCGAAAGCAUUUGCCAAGAAUGUUUUCAUUAAUCAAGAACGAAAGUUAGAGGUUCGAAGGCGAUCAGAUACCGCCCUAGUUCUAACCAUAAACGAUGCCAACCAGCAAUCAGCCUGUGUUCUCUUGAUGACACGGCUGGCGGCUUCCGGGAAACCAAAGUCUUUCGGUUCCAGGGGAAGUAUGGUUGCAAAGCUGAAACUUAAAGGAAUUGACGGAAGGGCACCACCAGGAGUGGAGCCUGCGGCUUAAUUUGACUCAACACGGGGAAACUCACCCGGCCCGGACACUGUGAGGAUUGACAGGUUGAAGCCCUUUCUUGAUUCAGUGGGUGGUGGUGCAUGGCCGUUCUUAGUUGGUGGAGUGAUUUGUCUGGUUAAUUCCGAUAACGAACGAGACUCUAGCCUACUAAUUAGACUGAGGCAUCCUUCGUGCUGCCUCAGCGCUUCCUAGAGGGACAGACGGCGUUUCAGCCGUAUGAGAAAGAGCAAUAACAGGUCUGUGAUGCCCUUAGAUGUCCGGGGCCGCACGCGCGCUACACUGAAGAGAUCAGCGUGUAUGUGCAUCCUACUCCGAAAGGAGCGGGAAACCGAGUGAACCCUUUUCGUGCUUGGGAUUGGGGAUUGUAAUUAUUCUCCAUGAACGAGGAAUUCCCAGUAAGUGCAAGUCAUCAGCUUGCAUUGAUUAC